UAGCAGCAAAGACAGUAUUG
rnacentral:miRNA from 1 species